rnacentral:piRNA from 1 species
GUGCUGGAAGUACUUUGGAAAAUAUAC